CCAAUGAUUUAAAAUGGAAGACUCGCUUCAUUGGCAAUAAGUGCGCUAAAAGCGACUUGCAAAAUGGGGAUUUGAGGGCGACAGGGUAAAAACCUGACUCUGUAAUUUUUUCAAAAUUGAGG
ncrna:Polynucleobacter yangtzensis strain MWH-JaK3 Ga0068521_122, whole genome shotgun sequence